rnacentral:rRNA from 1 species
CCCUAUGGGGCGCCUGACCUGCAAGGGCGACAAGUUCGGCGGGGAAUGCGGCUCCAAGGUCGGCGUUGUCCGCAACAACCUGGAAAAUCUUGACCGCAGUGAACCGCGUCUUGUCCUGAUGGGAUUCAGCCAUGUUGACACAGACGAGGCUUCUGCCAGCGCGAAAUAUCUCAACAAUGAUUUCUUUCCGGCGAAUCCGGGAAGUUCCUGGGUGAGUCCGGAAACUCUACCUUCUUUUUUUGAGUCUGAAAAAGAAUAUGCUCCGACAAUGGACGAGCUGAGGAUUAUUUCUGAAUAUCUGAUUUCAAAGUGGAAAAACAGGCCUCCCGAUUUCAUAGAGGGCAAUGGGCGUCAGGUUUCCCUGUGCGAUGCUUUUGAAGGGCUUGCCAGGGGAAUUGCCGCGUCGAAAUUUGCGGGAGAGC